UCAAAUUUUGAAAAAGCUUUAUGAAAACAAAAAUACAUUUUGGACAUUUGUUUAAUAUAUGGUUGUUUCUUCGACAAUUUAAAUUCAUUUAUAUUUUACAGAGAAAAAAACGGUAAAUAUCAGUUAUGGCAUGGUAUUUUGUUUUGGCAAUAUACAUUAAUUAUGUUCUAACAGGGAACAAGAGUCGACAAAAAAAGGUUAUAGUUUGUGUGAAGUUUAUAAUUAGGAAUCUAGUAUAAAAUCGGGAGAUUUUCAUCAUUAUUUGUUCUGUUAUUACCAAAGGAGAGAAGAACGGAUUUAUGAUUGCUUAAAUCUGACUUUUGUGAAUGGUUUAUAUGUGAUGGGUAUAUGUGAUAUUCGAAGUUUUGCUGUGAAUUCCAAUUCGUUAGUGAGACAUUUUUUUGCUGGAACAACAUAAAAUUUGUCGUGAAGAUGAUGAGAAAGUAAUUACCUUCUGGCGUCUUAAAAGGGUUAGAAACCCGCGUGUUCAUCGUACAUUGUAGAAUUUGAAUGUGCUUCUGAAUGCAUCAUGGAUCAGCUUUGAUCCCGUUGGAAAGGUGUCCAGUUUUGGAUCAGCUGACUCGCACUUUACUCAUUUUCUUGUAAAGUCCGCAACUGCAUCCAUUCGCAACCUGAAAUUUUUCUUUUGGUUGAUGGGCUAAGAAAUUCUGUAUUUUUGAUCUUUGGAUUACAACUCUCUUAGUAAUUAAACAAUGCCAAUGUCUCCUGUGCAUGUCACAUAAGAUAAUUAUUUUAUAUUUGGACGGACGUAAUCAUGAGGAAUAAAAAAGGCAAACAAGUUCAUAAAACACUUAACCAAAAAUCAAGUCUAAGCCAAGAGAAACCAACAAAAAACUGUGGUGAGCUCGGUAGCCCUUGAAAGGUACGCAGAUCCUGUUCAACCAGUGGCACCUGUCGUGAUACUGUUUGGUGAUGUUACAAUCGAGGAAAAGAGGACGGGAUUGUGGUUAAAAGUAUGCUAUACAAAAUCACCACAGUAAGAUAAAAUGUAAGGCUACAUCAAACGUACUUACCUGUACAACGGUAUCGAGGAACCAUUGUAUUACAGUCAGUGUAACGUAAAAAUUAACAACACGAAUGAUGACCGAUCUAUAAGUUACUGAUUAAAAUGUAACCAACCGGUACAGAAAAUAAUGUAUAAUCACAUUAACGGUAAGUGGUGCACAAGGCCAACAUAUAUAACAAUCCAAAGUAUAACACAAACGUCGAAGAGCUGAUUAAACCAACAACGACUAACAGUAAAGCCGAACCCGGACAAAGAAUAAAAAAGAGCUCUGCAUGAGAGAAAUAUUUCCUUAAUUCUAAUUGAUUUCGGGAUUUAAUAACAUUAAAUUCAGCAAAUAUUACAAUAUCUGUAUUUUCAAAAGGUACAGAACCACUGUCUACUUGGCUGAAGAUAUCAUAAGAGACCAACAGUCCACCAGCAGACGUAUUGACCUAGUGGUAGUUAUAACAUUAACAAUACCAAUGUUAUUGCACCAGAUGCGCAUUUUAACAAUUAAUGUCUUUUCAUUUUUGUUCAAGCCCAACACAAACGUUGAAGAGCUGAUGUAAGUUGUAUUGCAAUUCAAAACUUUAAGAUCAACAUUUUAAAGAAUUAUUCACAAUGCCGUUAUUUUUGCUGAUCAAUGGCUAAACAAUGUACAAGCAAAAUUAAGUGACUUGUGAGUUUUAUUUCAACGUAAAAAAACAAAUAAACGCAAACGCAAAUAAACAUACUAUACCAGUUUUUAAUAUGCAAUUUGAGAAAAACUUAGGAAAUGGUGUAAAAAAUUGACCGAAAAUAAUUGACUGAGUUGGAACGACAUAUUUUUCAGCGCUUUUAUGAACAGGUAUUUCCGACUGACCACCAGAAAAUAUGUUAUGCUGCAUUUUCAAACUUUAAAUGAGAAAAAUAGUUAAGCCUGCAUUGGAGGUUGUAGCUUAUAUAUUUUUUUUAAACGACAGAUCCCUCGAUUGAACGACAACAAUAUGUAAACAAGAAUUUAAAAAAAAAAUUUUGUAAACCUAUUUUAGCAAA